rnacentral:rRNA from 1 species
CCUACGGGUGGCAGCAGUGGGGAAUAUUGCACAAUGGGGGAAACCCUGAUGCAGCGACGCCGCGUGAGCGAGGAAGUAUUUCGGUAUGUAAAGCUCUAUCAGCAGGGACGAAAAAAGACGGUACCUGAAUAAGAAGCCCCGGCUAACUACGUGCCAGCAGCCGCGGUAAUACGUAGGGGGCAAGCGUUAUCCGGAUUUACUGGGUGUAAAGGGAGCGUAGACGGCAAGGCAAGCCAGAAGUGAAAGGGAAGGGCUCAACCCGGUACAGGCAUUUGGAACUGUGGUGCUAGAGUGCAGGAGAGGUAAGUGGAAUUCCUAGUGUAGCGGUGAAAUGCGUAGAUAUUAGGAGGAACACCAGUGGCGAAGGCGGCUUACUGGACUGUAACUGACGUUGAGGCUCGAAAGCGUGGGGAGCAAACAGGAUUAGAUACCCGAGUAGUC